UAAGACUUUAAGUUAAUUAAAACUUUAUACCUUCAAAGUAUACAUUACUUUCCAGUAAGUCUUAG
rnacentral:tRNA from 1 species